AUUUUGGUGUUUUCAAUGAAUGCUGCUAUCUAAUGGUCUAAUCUUGAUACACUAUGGGGACAAUACACGUUAGUCUCUUCAUGAUGCUGAUUUUGGGAGUCUACGGGUCAUCUUCAGAAAUUUUACAGCGACAAAAAAGAAGGUGGAUCAUUGAUUCCUUUAGUAUUGAUGAGGGCUAUAAAGGACCAUUCCCAUAUUCAUUGGGCAAAAUUACUAUAGAGAAAGACCUGACCUUUUUCAAAAUACAUGGUCAAGGUGUUGAUAAGGAACCCAAAGGCGUACUCCAAAUCAACGAACACACAGGUGACAUUACCGUCCACAGGGCUGUGGACUUUGAGAAAUUCCAUGUU